rnacentral:lncRNA from 1 species
GUUCCCAUUUGUGUCUUAAGUCCACUAGUUCUGUCAGAGUGGGCAAUUAAUAAGGUACACAUAGUUAUGAAUUCCGAUGGCUGAAGUAUUUCUCUUUAAUUGCUUGAAUGAACAGAAAUGCACAAGGAAAAUAACUUCAUGUAACAGCAGCCUGUUAUUAAAGAGCAAAGUGCCUUCAUAUACAGGUCCGUGUUCGCGUUUGUGGUCAAACCACGGUAGACCCGUGGAAACUGCUGGAGAAGGAGAAACUGGGAACGUGUUAAAUUCCAAGCGGCCGCAGUCUCUCUGACUCAACUCCAGGUUUGAGCCAUGCCUGAGAAAGUGGCCUAACCUCAUCACCGUGAACACCAUGGGGAGUCACUGGGAUCCAGUUCGGAUGGAGAUCUCUGUCCUCCAGCUUUUCAGGACUCAAGCACCGCUGCUAUGAAAAAAGGGAAGCUUAAUUUCUAAUGCCUUCUCCCUUUUCUGCGAAGAGCGCCGCACCUGCUCCAGCAUUCUAGGGAGAAAUCACAGUUUUCUCCGCCCCCUGACAAGCGCCAUACUCCAGGUGGGUCUAGAUGUCUCCCUUCCCAGCCAGGGCGGAGAGCCAAAGGCACCUCUCCCAGGCUGGGUGGGCGCGCCAGGGAC